AAUCACGGUCCAGUGGCCCAUCUCGAGGAGCGGCGCCGCUGAGCCCGGGAAACUGCGCUUGCAGUCCCUGCCCUCAAGAAGCUCACAUUCGAAUGGGAGAAAUGACCUAUGCCUGUGUACAUACACAAUCUAUACACUAUCUAUAAAUGCAAGCCGCCUUAUUUUUAUUCAAAGUCCCUCAAUUGCACCUGAGACUACAACUGCCCCUGAGACUACAACUGCCCCCUGGAUCAUUCCACCUCCCCCCAGGGAGCAGUAUUGCCGGCUUUGGGAAUCUAUGGUCUAGAAUGAUGAUCAACAAAACAGUGAGGAAACUGAGGUAAACAGAGGUUAAGUGACUUGCCCAGGGACACAUAACUAGUAACUGUCUGAGGCUGGAUAUGAACUCAAGUCUUCUUGACUCAACAUCCAAGUGCAGAUCAUGCUUCAAAUCUAGUGGAGAGAGUAGCAACAAUAACACAUCACUUUAAGAAAAGAAGGUUUUUAAACAUUUCCUUCUCAACAAAUCUAUGAGGUAGGUAGUCUAAGUAUUAUCAUUCCCAUUUUCCUGAUGAUAAAAAUGGUAC
rnacentral:lncRNA from 1 species